rnacentral:rRNA from 1 species
AGGUUGAUCGACCACAGUGGGCCUGAAUAAAGCCCAUGACGAUUGUCACAGCAGUGAGGAAUAUUGGUCAAUAGCCUAACGGCUGAACCAGCAACUUGGAGGAAUGUAUAGCAAUAGCUACUUGCAUCAUUGUAAAUAGAUGCAAGAUCGACUAUGUCGAAUAAAAUUCUAGGUAGAAUUAUGAUAAUGACAUUGUCUGCCUAUGUGUCUUGACCAAAUUACGUGCCAGCAGUCGCGGUAAUACGUAGAAGACUAGUGUUAUUCAUGUUUAAUCGGUUUAAAGGGUACCUAGACGGUAAAUCAAGCCUAAAAGGAAAUAAAUGAAGGGACUAAUUUACUAGAGUUACUUAUGAGGGGGUAUUAAAGUACUGCUGGUGUAGAGAUGAAAUUCUGAUACCUCUUUUCAAUAGAAAAAUAAUGGCACAGGUAUAGGCGAAAGCAUCCCCUUAUGUGAUAACUGACGUUGAGGGACGAAGGCUUUGUGUAGCGAACAGGAUUAGAUACCCCAGUAGUCAAAGCAGAAAAUGAUGAAUGUCAUAGAUUAGAUAUAUAAGUUUAUUCUAUAAAUGAAAGUGUAAG